AGCAUAUCAAUAAGCGGAGGAAAAGAAACUAACAAGGAUUCCCCUAGUAACUGCGAGUGAAGCGGGAAAAGCUCAAAUUUAAAAUCUGGCGGCCUUUGGUUGUCCGAGUUGUAAUCUAGAGAAGUGCUAUCCGCGCUGGACCGUGUACAAGUCUCCUGGAAUGGAGCAUCAUAGAGGGUGAGAAUCCCGUCUUUGACAUGGACUGCCAGGGCUUUGUGAUGUGCUCUCAAAGAGUCGAGUUGUUUGGGAAUGCAGCUCAAAAUGGGUGGUAAAUUCCAUCUAAAGCUAAAUAUUGGCGAGAGACCGAUAGCGAACAAGUACCGUGAGGGAAAGAUGAAAAGAACUUUGGAAAGAGAGUUAAACAGUACGUGAAAUUGCUGAAAGGGAAACGCUUGAAGUCAGUCGCGUUGGCCAGGGAUCAACCUUGCUUUUGCUUGGUGUACUUUCUGGUUGACGGGUCAGCAUCAAUUUUGACUAUUGGAAAAAGGUCAAGGGAAUGUGGCAUCUCUUCUGAUGUGUUAUAGCCCUUGGUUGUAUACAAUGGUUGGGAUUGAGGAACUCAGCACGCCGCAAGGCCGGGUUUUAACCACGUACGUGCUUAGGAUGCUGGCGUAAUGGCUUUAAUCGACCCGUCUUGAAACACGGACCAAGGAGUCUAACAUGCCUGCGAGUGUUUGGGUGGAAAACCCAAGCGCGUAAUGAAAGUGAAAGUUGAGAUCCCUGUCGUGGGGAGCAUCGACGCCCGGACCAGACCUUUUGUGACGGUUCCGCGGUAGAGCAUGUAUGUUGGGACCCGAAAGAUGGUGAACUAUGCCUGAAUAGGGUGAAGCCAGAGGAAACUCUGGUGGAGGCUCGUAGCGAUUCUGACGUGCAAAUCGAUCGUCAAAUUUGGGUAUAGGGGCGAAAGACUAAUCGAACCAUCUAGUAGCUG
rnacentral:rRNA from 1 species